rnacentral:rRNA from 1 species
UUGUCUGGCGGCCAUAGCGCAGUGGAACCACCCCUUCCCAUCUCGAACAGGACCGUGAAACGCUGCAGCGCCUAUGAUAGUUGAGGGUCUCCCUC